CGGAAGCGGAAGACACUCGUUAAUGACCUGACUAACGGCGGCGUGGAGCCGUGCGUGGAGCCAUACGUGGAGCGUGUGGUGAAGCUUGAUCAUGAUGGAGCUAAAAGGAAAAACAUGCAGAGCAUGUAUCAGAACAUAUAUUGGAGAUGACAUGCAGUGAUACAGGCUUGGUUGUGUUAGUCAUUGCACAUUAAUCCAACAAAAUGAGACCACUGUGACCUUCAGCCUGUGACGAGUAACCUGAAGUUGAGCAGCUGGUGUUGUGUGGAAAAACUGUCAACUCAUUCGCUCAUGCUCCUUCAUAUAAAGACACUCCCUGCCAAAGGAUGAUGGAAGUUGUGGAUGUGAAUGUUUCUCACCUUUUGUAUAAUUGCAAUUUAAUUGUAUUGGUGUUACUGGAAGAAAACAUUGAGAUUCAGAAGCAUUGAAGAAUUUUCCAAAAACAAAGACUUUUACUUUAAAUUAAACACACGUUAAAAUAACUUGAUUGCAUAUGUUUUACAACUCCCUGUGUAGCUCUUAAUAAUAUAGUACAUCCUGCAUAAUGAGCAAAUGGCCACAUGGUAAACACAAAUGUCUGUCAUUUGUCACAAUAUGAAAGGACUGGGCUAUAUGGACAAACAAGACUGUCAUAAUAACUUAUAAAUGUCAUAUAAUUAAAGAUCAGUAUUUGCUCCAAAAAUGUA